GAUUGAACGCUGGCGGCAUGCCUUACCCAUGCAAGUCGAACGGCAGCACGGGUGCUUGCACCUGGUGGCGAGUGGCGAACGGGUGAGUAAUACAUCGGAACAUGUCCUGUAGUGGGGGAUAGCCCGGCGAAAGCCGGAUUAAUACCGCAUACGAUCUACGGAUGAAAGCGGGGGACCUUCGGGCCUCGCGCUAUAGGGUUGGCCGAUGGCUGAUUAGCUAGUUGGUGGGGUAAAGGCCUACCAAGGCGACGAUCAGUAGCUGGUCUGAGAGGACGACCAGCCACACUGGGACUGAGACACGGCCCAGACUCCUACGGGAGGCAGCAGUGGGGAAUUUUGGACAAUGGGCGAAAGCCUGAUCCAGCAAUGCCGCGUGUGUGAAGAAGGCCUUCGGGUUGUAAAGCACUUUUGUCCGGAAAGAAAUCCUUGGCCCUAAUACGGUCGGGGGAUGACGGUACCGGAAGAAUAAGCACCGGCUAACUACGUG
rnacentral:rRNA from 1 species